CUGCUCCCGCCCUCCCCGGGCGGCGCGCCAUUUCCGCUGCGGAAGGGUGGAAGCGGGAGGGGGAUGGAAUUACUCGUCCCAUUUACAGCUGCAGGAAAGGAGGCAACGGUGCAGGCACCGCAUCAGGGUUUUCAGUUUUGUGUCUGCGAUGUUCGAGUUAAAAUCCAUCCUGUCUCUCGCCCAACUGCCAAACUCUGACCAUGAAAUGCUCACACCACUCACAAGCCACCUCCAUGUGUGUGAGGACAUUAAUAUUUUUCAUAUUUACUGGUACAGUAAAUACUUGUUACAACCGCAUUUUACAAUUUAUAAAUCUUUAGUUUUGCUUUAAAAUUUUUUAUUAUUGUCAGCCAUGGUGGCUCAGGGCUGUAAUCCCAGCACUUUGGGAGCCCAAGGCGGGUGGAUCACCUGAGGUCAGGAGUUCGAGACCAGCCUGGCCGACAUGGAGAAACCCCGUCUCUACUAAAAAUACCAAAAUCAGCCAGGUGUGGUGGUGGGUGCCUGUAAUCCCAGCUGAGUCAGGAUAAUAGCUUGAACAUGAGAGGCGGAGGUUGCCGUGAGCCGAGAUUGCACCAUUGCACUCCAGCCUGGGCAACAAGAGCAAAACUCUGUCUCAAAAAAAAAAAAAAUUAUUAUUGCCGGGCACAGUGGCUCACCCCUAUAAUCUCAGCACUUUGGGAGGCUGAGGCAGGCGGAUCAUGAGGUCAGGAGUUCAAGACCAGCUUGGGUAAUAUGGUGAAACUCCAUCUCUACUAAAAAUACAAAAAUCAGCCAGGCGUGGUGGCGCACGCCUAUAAUCCCAGCUACUUGGGAGGCUGAGGCAGAAUUGCUUGAACCCAGGAGGCGGAGGUUGCAGUGAGCCGAGAUCACACCACUGCACUCCAGCCUGGGAAACAGAGAUACAGUCUCAAAAAAAAAAAAAUAUAUAUAUAUAUAUAUAUACAUAUAAUUUUUAUGUAUUUAUUUAUUUUGAGACAGUUUCACUCUGUCGCGCAGGCUGGAGUGUAGUGGUGCAUUCUUGGCUCACUGCAACCUCCACCUUCUGGAUUCAAGCAAUACUUAUGCCUCAGCCUCCCAACUAGCUGGGACUACG
rnacentral:lncRNA from 10 species